rnacentral:rRNA from 1 species
GACGAACGCUGGCGGCGUGCCUAAUACAUGCAAGUCGAACGCAGUGGGGACGGGUGAGUAACACGUGGGUAACCUGCCAUCAGAGGGGAUAACACUUGGAAACAGGUGCUAAACCGAUAUGGACGGAUGGACUCGCGGUGCAUUAGCUAGUCGGGGAGGUAACGGCGUACCAAGGCCACGAUGCAUAGACGAGCUGAUAGGUGGAUCAGCCACACUGGGACUGAGACACGGCCCAGACUCCUACGGGAGGCAGCAGUGGGGAAUCGUGGGCAAUGGACGAAAGUCUGAGCGAGCAACGCCGCGUGAGUGAAGAAGGUUUUCGGGUCGUAAAGCUCUGUUGUUAGGGAGGCGGUAUCUGAAGAAGAAGCCACGGCUAACUACGUGCCAGCAGCCGCGGUAAUUC